rnacentral:lncRNA from 1 species
ACAGGAGCGCGCAAGGCUUGCUACGGGCAGAGUUGUCCCGGUGGCCCGGAGUUCCAGCCUCUGUCCAGCAUGGCCUCACUGAGUUCGCGGAGCUUCUAAUGCCACGCGGGCGUCAGGUGCAUUCAUUUCACCCCGGAGAUCUGAAGAAGAAGAGUUUAUCUGCAUUCCCCUUCCUUCCUGCUUCCCACCUCCAAAGCCCGCCACUGAUCCUGCGAAUAAGUUUGCCCUGAAGUGUGGAAUAUCCCAUUCCUGCACAACUCGGUUCUACACCCCCUCCCCCGUGGGAUUCAGAGUGGCAAGAGGAAAAACAGCAAGUCCAACUCCACAGGUUUGUAAGGAGCAGCCAGCUUUGAUUUGCCCUGCACGUCAUAGCUCAGAAAGUUUUGCUGCUCAUACAAUCCUCAGCAAAGACCAUCCAUUCAUUCCGGGAUUCCCCCAGCUCAUGGACACAGGCCCCCCAGAUGGAAGAAAGGAGUGAAAUUCUGAUAUAUGAUACAAUGUGGAUGAACCUUGAAGACAUUGUGCUAAGUAAACUAAGCUUGUUGGCCGGGCACAGUGAGUGGCUCAGGCCUGUAAUCCCAGCACUUUGGGAGGCUGAAGCGAACAGAUGACUUGAGGCCAAGAGUUCAAGAUCAGCCUGGCCAAUAUGGUGAAACCCCAUCUCUACAAAAAAAAUACAAAAAUUAGCCAGGUGUGAUGGCAUGCCCCUCUAAUCCUAGUUACUUGGAAGGCAGAGGCAGGAGAAUCACUUGAACCUGGGAGGCAGAGGUUGCAGUGAGCUGAGAUUGUGCCACUGCACUCCAGCCUGGGUGACAAGAGCAAGACUCCAUCUCAAGAAAAGCAAAACAAAACAAAAACACAUGAAACUUUUAUGGUCUCAACUGCUUUAAAAUGAAAUCUAAGUUUCCUUAUAUGACUCCAAGCAACUAUGUGAUCUAUGUCCUUGCCUCUGUCUCCAAUCUCAUCAUAUAUCACUCCCCUCCUCACUCAUUAUCUUCGGCCACUGUGGUCCCAUUGUUUGUGUUGCUGUCCACUUUCCUGCCUGGAAUACACUUCACUAGUGUUGAAGGUU